GGGGAUUUAGCUCAGUGGCAUAAGCGCCUGCCUUGCAAGCAGGAAACCGUGAGUUCGAUCCCUG
rnacentral:tRNA from 1 species